rnacentral:rRNA from 1 species
CCUACGGGAGGCAGCAGUGGGGAAUAUUGGGCAAUGGGCGCAAGCCUGACCCAGCAACGCCGCGUGAAGGAAGAAGGCUUUCGGGUUGUAAACUUCUUUUGUCAGGGAAGAGUAGAAGACGGUACCUGACGAAUAAGCCACGGCUAACUACGUGCCAGCAGCCGCGGUAAUACGUAGGUGGCAAGCGUUGUCCGGAUUUACUGGGUGUAAAGGGCGUGUAGCCGGGUUGACAAGUCAGAUGUGAAAUCCUGCGGCUUAACCGGAGAACUGCAUUUGAAACUGUUGAUCUUGAGUACAGGUGAGGCAGACGGAAUUCGUGGUGUAGCGGUGAAAUGCGUAGAUAUUAGGAAGAACACCAGUUGCGAAGGCGGUUUACUGAACAGCAACUGACGGUGAUGCGCGAAAGCGUGGGGAGCAAACAGGAUUAGAUACCCGUGUAGUC